UAAAGAAUUUCGGUCAUCGAUGGGGAUGCGUUCCAUUAGCUUGUUGGCGGGGUAACGGCCCACCAAGGCAUCGAUGGAUAGGGGUUCUGAGAGGAAGGUCCCCCACAUUGGAACUGAGACACGGUCCAAACUCCUACGGGAGGCAGCAGUGAGGAAUAUUGGUCAAUGGGCGCUAGCCUGAACCAGCCAAGUAGCGUGAAGGAUGACUGCCCUAUGGGUUGUAAACUUCUUUUAUAUGGGAAUAAAGUGCAGUAUGUAUACUGCUUUGCAUGUACCUUAUGAAUAAGGAUCGGCUAACUCCGUGCCAGCAGCCGCGGUAAUACGGAGGAUCCGAGCGUUAUCCGGAUUUAUUGGGUUUAAAGGGAGCGUAGGCGGGUUGUUAAGUCAGUUGUGAAAGUUUGCGGCUCAACCGUAAAAUUGCAGUUGAUACUGGCAUCCUUGAGUACAGUAGAGGUAGGCGGAAUUCGUGGUGUAGCGGUGAAAUGCUUAGAUAUCACGAAGAACUCCGAUUGCGAAGGCAGCCUGCUGGACUGUAACUGACGCUGAUGCUCGAAAGUGUGGGUAUCAAACAGGAUUAGAUACCCUGGUAGUCCACACAGUAAACGAUGAAUACUCGCUGUUUGCGAUAUACAGUAAGC
rnacentral:rRNA from 1 species